CACCCAACAGCUAGCCCACCACAUCAAGACCAAUAAACCCCUAUAAAUAAACCCACACCCCCCAAACGCAACAAAACAAACCAUUUUUCCACCCAAGUAUGGGCGACAGAAAAGGACAAAGGAGCAACAGAAAAAGUACCGUAAGGGAAAGCUGAAAAAGAAAUGAAACAAACCAGUAAAGAAAGACAAAGCAGAGAUAAGCCCUCGUACCUUUUGCAUCAUGAUUUAGCCAGAAACAUUCGAGCAAAAUGAAUUUUAGUUCGACUCCCCGAAACUAAGCGAGCUACUCCGAGACAGCCUAUUAUAGGGCCAACCCUUCUCUGUGGCAAAAGAGUGGGAAGAACUCCGAGUAGAGGUGACAGACCUACCGAGCCUAGUGAUAGCUGGUUGCCUGAGAAAUGAAUAGGAGUUCAGCCUCUUGGCCUUCUACUUUCACCCCGUCCUCAACCCAGACGACCUAAAGAAGUCAAGAGAGUUAAUUGAAGGGGGUACAGCCCCUUUAAAUAAAGACACAACUUUAAUAGAAGGUUAAAGAUCAUAAUUACAAAGGACGCAUGUUCUAGUGGGCUUAAAAGCAGCCAUCCAAAUGAAAAGCGUUAAAGCUUAGACGUCCUACUAAUCCAAGAUUCCGAUAGCACAAUCUUAACCUCUAGAUCCUAACAGGCCGCCCCAUGCAUACAUGGGGGUGACCCUGCUAAAAUGAGUAAUAAGAGGGUAAAGACCCUCUCCCCGCACAAGUGUAAAUCAGAACGAACCCCCACUGAAAAUUAACGGCCCCAAACGAAGAGGGAAGUGGACCAAAGAUAUAUUGACCAGAAGGACGUCCAAAACAACCCGUUAACCCCACACUGGCGUGCCCCUGGGAAAGACUAAAAGAAAGAGAAGGAACUCGGCAAACACCUAAGCCUCGCCUGUUUACCAAAAACAUCGCCUCUUGCAAAAAUAAUGAAUAAGAGGUCCCGCCUGCCCUGUGACUACGUGUUUAACGGCCGCGGUAUUUUGACCGUGCGAAGGUAGCGCAAUCACUUGUCUUUUAAAUGGAGACCUGUAUGAAUGGCAUAACGAGGGCUUAACUGUCUCCUCUUUCCAGUCAAUGAAAUUGAUCUCCCCGUGCAGAAGCGGGGAUAACCUCAUAAGACGAGAAGACCCUAUGGAGCUUUAGACAUAAAGCAGAUCAUGUUAAGGACCCUCACACAAGAAUCAAAACAGGACGAAACCUGCCAGAAUGUCUUUGGUUGGGGCGACCACGGAGGAGAACACAUCCUCCAUGCGGAACGGGACCCAUCAGGUCCCAUAACCAAGAGCCUCCCGCUCUAAGUAUCAGAAACUUUUGACCCACCAGAUCCGGCCGAAGCCGAUCAACGGACCGAGUUACCCUAGGGAUAACAGCGCAAUCCCCUUUCAGAGCCCAUAUCGCCAAGGGGGUUUACGACCUCGAUGUUGGAUCAGGACAUCCUAAUGGUGCAGCCGCUGUUAAGGGUUCGUUUGUUCAACGAUUAAAGUCCUACGUGAUCUGAGUUCAGACCGGAGCAAUCCAGGUCAGUUUCUAUCUAUGCCAUGCUCUUCCCUAGUACGAAAGGACCGAGAAGAGGAGGCCCAUGCUCGAGAUACGCCUCACCCUCAUUUAAUGAAAUCAACUAAAAUGAGAAAGAGGGCAUAUCCCGAGCGUCCGAAAACACGACGU
rnacentral:rRNA from 1 species